CGGACAGCUGCUGGAAGCAUUUAGUUGACUCCAUCCCGCUUCAGCGCAAGAUGAAAAUGUGGAAGGAGGCUGUCCAGUUACCAGUGCAGUACUGCGACAGAAAAGGAAAGAAUACCCACACACACUGACAGGGAGCGGGGAUUUUUACCCAGUGAAGAGGGUUGCCAAAACCCGAGUCAUCAAGGGUCAAAAAAUGAAGUAUGUGGAGUGGGAGCCAUGCAAAAUCUGUGGAAAGAAGUGGCCUUUGCAGUGGGUGCCGGAUAGUGAAACUUGCUAGGUUUUUGCGGCAAAUUAGCAGCUGUUCACAUGAUUUCAUUUCCAUUUGUUGCUGUAUUUCAUUUUGCACUUUGUAUUUUACAGUGUUCUUCUUGUUUGUUUGUUUUUUGGGCACUGUAAAUAUUGUCAUGUAGUGAUCUGUUUUUGUUAUGCUGGUUUUUACUUUACCUGUUGCAAUAAAACCUUGAAA